AUUGAACGCUGGCAGCAGGCCUAACACAUGCAAGUCGAGCGGAUGAGGGGUGCUUGCACCCCGAUUCAGCGGCGGACGGGUGAGUAAUGCCUAGGAAUCUGCCCGAUAGUGGGGGACAACGUUUCGAAAGGAACGCUAAUACCGCAUACGUCCUACGGGAGGAAGUGGGGGCUCUUCGGACCUCACGCUAUCGGAUGAGCCUAGGUCGGAUUAGCUAGUUGGUGGGGUAAAGGCUCACCAAGGCGACGAUCCGUAACUGGUCUGAGAGGAUGAUCAGUCACACUGGAACUGAGACACGGUCCAGACUCCUACGGGAGGCAGCAGUGGGGAAUAUUGGACAAUGGGCGAAAGCCUGAUCCAGCCAUGCCGCGUGUGUGAAGAAGGUCUUCGGAUUGUAAAGCACUUUAAGUCGGGAGGAAGGGUUGUAGGUUAAUACCUUGCAGCCUUGACGUUACCGACAGAAUAAGCACCGGCUAACUUCGUGCCAGCAGCCGCCGCCGUAA
rnacentral:rRNA from 1 species